GGGCCCGUAGCUCAGUUGGUUAGAGCAGUCGACUCAUAAUCGAUCGGUCGUGGGUUCAAGUCCCGCCGGGCCCACCC
rnacentral:tRNA from 1 species